GACGUAGGGGGCCAGCGUUGCUCGGAAUUACUGGGCGUAAAGGGUUCGUAGGCGGUGCGGUAAGUCUCGAGUGAAAUCUCUGGGCUCAACCCAGAGGCUGCUCGGGAAACUGCUGUGCUCGAGUCCGGGAGAGGCGCGUGGAAUUGCAGGUGUAGCGGUGAAAUGCGUAGAUAUCUGCAGGAACACCAGAGGCGAAAGCGGCGCGCUGGACCGGUACUGACGCUGAGGAACGAAAGCUAGGGGAGCAAACAGG
rnacentral:rRNA from 1 species